UACGUAGGUGGCAAGCGUUGUCCGGAAUUAUUGGGCGUAAAGCGCGCGCAGGCGGUCCUUUAAGUCUGAUGUGAAAGCCCUCGGCUCAACCGAGGAGGGUCAUUGGAAACUGGAGGACUUGAGUGCAGAAGAGGAAAGUGGAAUUCCAAGUGUAGCGGUGAAAUGCGUAGAUAUCUGGAGGAAUACCGGUGGCGAAGGCGGCAUCCUGGACCGACAUUGACGCUGAUGAGCGAAAGCUAGGGGAGCAAACGGG
rnacentral:rRNA from 1 species